AAAAAAGUGUGGGGGUCACUGGCAGAUUUCAAUGUGAAAUAUGGUUGAUUAUAACUUAGUACUUAUGAAAUCUGUACCUAGAAGUUGCUUAAGUUAAAUAAUGGACCAGAAAAGUUUGGCAGUUUCAGGUGUAAGAUCCUUAUAAACUCCACGUAUUAAUGAACAAUGAGUAUACAUUAGAAACUUUGUAAUUCUGUUUCAUUAACUGUGGGGACUCAAUAUACUCCAUUUCGUGUUUUCCUUUUGUCCCUUGUUUCCUAAAAGCAGUUUAUAGUCAAA
rnacentral:misc_RNA from 1 species